GGGGAUGACAGCUUUCGACAUGUGUUGCUCUAUAACAUCUGCACAUCGUCUUUUAUUCAAGACGUGAAACAUGAAUUACAACAUAACUGCAAAAACAAUUCGCAGUACAGUGGCUUACGUGAAAAGUCUCUUUGACUUCUCACCAGUCGCUUCUUACGCACCUUUGGUUGCAUAAGACAUCUACAGUUCUUAUUUCGCUGACGUAAAACUGUAGGUGGAAACACAGUCAGUGUGUCACUUUUUCUCUGACUACUUGAGAAAAAGGAAGCCCUCACAGUAGUGAGACCUCCCAACCGCUUGUCGUUUGAUUCGGGGGAGAUCACGAUCAACAAACGACUAUAUGUGUAGAUGAUGCUAUAGUUCGCGCAUGGACCCCGGUCCAAUCCGGGCAUCUCCACUC
rnacentral:tmRNA from 1 species